rnacentral:tRNA from 5 species
GGGCCCGUAGUGUAAACGGAUAUCACAGGGGCCUCCGGAGCCCCUAAUCCGGGUUCGAUUCCCGGCGGGCCCG